rnacentral:rRNA from 1 species
ACUCCUACGGGAGGCAGCAGUAGGGAAUCUUCCACAAUGGGCGCAAGCCUGAUGGAGCAACACCGCGUGAGUGAAGAAGGGUUUCGGCUCGUAAAGCUCUGUUGUUAAAGAAGAACACGUAUGAGAGUAACUGUUCAUACGUUGACGGUAUUUAACCAGAAAGUCACGGCUAACUACGUGCCAGCAGCCGCGGUAAUACGUAGGUGGCAAGCGUUAUCCGGAUUUAUUGGGCGUAAAGAGAGUGCAGGCGGUUUUCUAAGUCUGAUGUGAAAGCCUUCGGCUUAACCGGAGAAGUGCAUCGGAAACUGGAUAACUUGAGUGCAGAAGAGGGUAGUGGAACUCCAUGUGUAGCGGUGGAAUGCGUAGAUAUAUGGAAGAACACCAGUGGCGAAGGCGGCUACCUGGUCUGCAGCUGACGCUGAGACUCGAAAGCAUGGGUAGCGAACAGGAUUAGAUACCCUGGUAGGAUAGCG